AACGAACGCUGGCGGCAUGCCUAACACAUGCAAGUCGAACGCCUGUAGCAAUACAGGAGUGGCGCACGGGUGAGUAACGCGUGGGAACCUGCCCUGGAGUGGGGGAUAACCGAGAGAAAUUUCGGCUAAUACCGCAUACGUCCUGAGGGAGAAAGAUUUAUCGCUCUAGGAGGGGCCCGCGUCGGAUUAGCUAGUUGGUGGGGUAACGGCCUACCAAGGCAACGAUCCGUAGCUGGCUGAGAGGAUGAUCAGCCACACUGGGACUGAGACACGGCCCAGACUCCUACGGGAGGCAGCAGUGGGGAAUAUUGGGCAAUGGGCGAAAGCCUGACCCAGCAACGCCGCGUGAAGGAUGAAG
rnacentral:rRNA from 1 species